rnacentral:piRNA from 1 species
UGAUACAGAAACUUUAAUUUCCCAAACUC